rnacentral:lncRNA from 1 species
AGGGGACGUGCAGGGUUUUGAGAAUGGAAUUGUCUAAGCAUCUCAUGUGUGAUUUCUCUCGUUCUUCCCAGGAAAGCACCAGAAGUAUCCACAAAGGAAAAGAACCAUAUUCACUCAGAAACAACUGGCGGAUUUGCGGCUCCUGUUCAAUGAGAACCCAUACCCGACCUCCAGCCUUCAGAGAGAAAUGGCCUCAAAAAUGGAGAUACAUCCAACAGUCGUGAAGGUUUGGUUCAAGAACCACAGAGCAAAACUCAAGAGAGCCAAAUACAAGCCUAUUCAGCAAAAACAACAAGAGGCUCAACAGCAGCAAUUAGCUGAGGCAGGAGCGCUCCCCAGGACACAGCUGUACACUCCAGGUGCAGGUCCUUCUGGUCGUGCUAUAUGGGACACCACCCCAGCCUGGCCCAAUGAGUGGUGCCACGUCUGCACCCAGGAUCUGAACCAGCAAACCCCAGGCCACCGAAGCAGAGGGCGCGAACUCAACCACUUGGCCACGGAGCUGGUCCCUCAACUCUCCUUAAGACAAUGAAAACACCACAAGCCCUUCCAAGGGAGUUCAAGCCUCCUGAUUUCCUCCUUCUGACUCCCCUCUCCCUGCAUGUGUGCAUCGAUGAAUAAAG